rnacentral:rRNA from 1 species
UUGACCUCGGAUCAUGGCAGGGAUACCCGCUGAACUUAAGCGAUAUCAAUAAGCGGAGGAAAAGAAACCAUCAGGGAUUGCCUCAGUAACGGCGAGUGAAGCGGCAACAGCUCAAAUUUGAAUAUCUGGCUCUUUUACGGGUCCGAGUUGUAAUUGUGUAGAGGAUGCUUCGGCGUGGGCUCCGGUCUAAGUUCCUUGGAACAGGACGUCAUAGAGGGUGAGAAUCCCGUAUGUGAUCGGUUGCCGUUGCCAUGUGAAGCUCCUUCGACGAGUCGAGUUGUUUGGGAAUGCAGCUCUAAAUGGGAGGUAAAUUUCUGCUAGAGCUAAAUACUGGCCAGAGACCGAUAGCGCACAAGUAGAGUGAUCGAAUGAUGAAUAGCACUCUGGACCAGAGUGAAAAGUACGUGAACUGUGGAAGGGAUCGCU